rnacentral:rRNA from 1 species
UACGUAGGGGGCAAGCGUUGUCCGGAUUUAUUGGGCGUAAAGAGCGUGUAGGCGGCUGGGUAGGUCCGCUGUGAAAACUCGAGGCUUAACCUCGAGACGUCGGUGGAAACCAUCCAGCUAGAGUCCGGAAGAGGAGAGUGGAAUUCCUGGUGUAGCGGUGAAAUGCGCAGAUAUCAGGAAGAACACCAAUGGCGAAGGCAGCUCGCUGGGACGUGACUGACGCUGAGACGCGAAAGCGUGGGGAGCAAACAGG